rnacentral:rRNA from 1 species
CAGCCGCCGCGGUAAUACGUAGGGUGCGAGCGUUAAUCGGAUUUACUGGGCGUAAAGCGUGCGCAGGCGGCCCGUUAAGACAGGUGUGAAAUCCCUGGGCUCAACCUAGGAAUUGCGCUUGUGACUGGCGGGCUCGAGUACGGUAGAGGGGGGUGGAAUUCCUGGUGUAGCAGUGAAAUGCGUAGAGAUCAGGAGGAACACCGAUGGCGAAGGCAGCCCCCUGGGCCUGUACUGACGCUCAUGCACGAAAGCGUGGGGAGCAAACAGGAUUAGAGACCCUGGUAGUCCACGCCCUAAACGAUGGGUACUAGCCGUUUGGUGCGCGAAAGCGCUGAGUGGCGAAGCUAACGCGUGAAGUACCCCGCCUGGGGAGUACGGCCGCAAGGUUGAAACUUAAAGGAAUUGGCGGG